CGCAUAGUUCCUCCGUCCAAUAAAAGAUGUCUCAAUUUUAACUAAAUAUGAAUGUAUCUAUACAUAAAGUCAUGUAGAUACAUUCAAAUUUUGACAAACUUGAGACAUCUUUUGUUGUACGGAGAGAAGUAGAAU
rfam:Brachypodium distachyon strain Bd21 chromosome 1, whole genome shotgun sequence.